UACGGAGGGUGCAAGCAUUAAUCGGAUUUAUUGGGCGUAAAGGGCGCGUAGGCGGGCAAAUAAGUCAGAUGUGAAAUCCUGGAGCUCAACUCCAGAACAGCAUUUGAAACUAUUUAUCUUGAGGGUAGGCGGAGAAAAUGGAAUUCCACAAGUAGCGGUGAAAUGCGUAGAUAUGUGGAAGAACACCAGUGGCGAAGGCGGUUUUCUAGCUUACUCCUGACGCUGAGGCGCGAAAGCAAGGGGAUCAAACAGG
rnacentral:rRNA from 1 species